rnacentral:tRNA from 1 species
GGAGGAUAUAGCUCAGUGGCAGAGCACAUGCUUAGGAUGCAUGAGGUCCUGGGUUCAAUCCCUAGUGCCUCCU